rnacentral:rRNA from 1 species
AACGAACGCUGGCGGCAUGCCUAACACAUGCAAGUCGAACGAGACCUUCGGGUCUAGUUGCGCACGGGUGCGUAACGCGUGGGAACCUGCCCUUAGGUUCGGAAUAACUCCCCGAAAGGGGUGCUAAUACCGGAUAAUGUCUUCGGACCAAAGAUUUAUCGCCUUUGGAUGGGCCCGCGUUGGAUUAGCUAGUUGGUAGGGUAAAAGCCUACCAAGGCGACGAUCCAUAGCUGGACUGAGAGGAUGAUCAGCCACACUGGGGCUGAGACACGGCCCAGACUCCUACGGGAGGAAGCAGUGGGGAAUAUUGGACAAUGGGCGAAAGCCUGAUCCAGCAAUGCCGCGUGAGUGAUGAAGGCCUUAGGGUUGUAAAGCUCUUUUACCCGGGAUGAUAAUGACAGUACCGGGAGAAUAAGCGCCGGCUAACUCCGUG